rnacentral:rRNA from 1 species
GAUGAACGCUGGCGGCGUGCCUAAUACAUGCAAGUCGAGCGAACAGACGAGGAGCUUGCUCCUCUGACGUUAGCGGCGGACGGGUGAGUAACACGUGGAUAACCUACCUAUAAGACUGGGAUAACUUCGGGAAAUCGGAGCUAAUACCGGAUAAUAUAUUGAACCGCAUGGUUCAAUAGUGAAAGACGGUUUUGCUGUCACUUAUAGAUGGAUCCGCGCCGCAUUAGCUAGUUGGUAAGGUAACGGCUUACCAAGGCAACGAUGCGUAGCCGACCUGAGAGGGUGAUCGGCCACACUGGAACUGAGACACGGUCCAGACUCCUACGGGAGGCAGCAGUAGGGAAUCUUCCGCAAUGGGCGAAAGCCUGACGGAGCAACGCCGCGUGAGUGAUGAAGGUCUUCGGAUCGUAAAACUCUGUUAUUAGGGAAGAACAAAUGUGUAAGUAACUAUGCACGUCUUGACGGUACCUAAGCAGAAAGCCACGGCUAACUACGU